GGCACAUCCUAGUACAUCCUUGGUGACAGAGGUACAGCUUGGGACUGGUUUCCAGGAAACCCCUCAUCUCCCAGGGCUCUUGCUGACGCCCUGGCUGCUGGGGGUAUGGGUUUGUAGGCAAAGGGGCUGCUCCCUUUGGGGAAGAUAUGUGGAGUUCCCCAGAGCUGGGGCGAGGUCCCUCUCUCUCCAAUUCAUCCCCUGCAUUUGUAAUCCCUGCCUUUUCUGUGCCACUGAAGAUGUCCUCGUGUGUCUUAUGAAGACAUCCUUUCCUCCGUGCUAUUCUUCACUGCGUGAGAGAGAAUGAAGAAGGGAUGGGGAAGGGACGGGGAGAAGAGAUGAGAGCAGCUCUGGGACCCCAGAGUGUGAGCAAGUUUCAGUUGAGCAGUUCUUUUAGGCAAACAUUUUCUAAUUAAACUUUAAACCCAAACCCUUGUUCCACCUCUCUCAAAAACGCAGGAUGUGUCUCCCUUCUGGUUAGCAUGAAAUGAUUUCUUCUCUUUCCUUCAUUAGAAACUGGAAUUGAUCUUCUUUAAAGAUAAAAAUUACAUUUCUGCUUAAUUCCUGUUUGAUUCAUUUGGAACCAGUGCAUUUUCAUCAGAGCAACUAAAAAGCCCUGUGAGAAUCAGCUCAGAAGAAGGAAUGUACAGAGGGUCACGAUAAGUAGCACAUCUCAUCAGACCUGAUGCCCGGGGAUGUUAAAGUGCUUUUUAAAAUGAGGACUAAUAAGGCUACUCAGCUUUUACUGUUUUCUAAGAGCCUCAACUAAAUUAAUCAUGGCACAGAAUAACCCUUCCUGUAAGGUGAUUACACAUCCUUUGGUUGUGGGGAAGCCUGGGCUAUCACAGAGAGAAGAAGCUGAGUGAAUUAUUUAAAAAGUAUGCAGCAAAGGCCUGUGAAUCGUCGGGGAGGUGGGAUGGCGUCUCUCCCUCAUUCGGGGGCCUCUCCGAGGAAUAGCAGAAGGGACCCCAGAAGGCUUGUUGGACACCAGUUUAAUUCGGAAAAUAGAGCAGCACUUCACCUCGCGUGUGCUGGGUGGGGAAUUGUAAAAGAGGACACAGUCAAAAUAGUCAUUAAGGCCAAACCAGAGUCAGCCCAAAGCCAGGCCUGCAUUCCCAGGAACCUGCUGGGCCGUGGUAUUUGCAUACAUCAGUCUCCAGCCUCCAUUGUCUCCCACAGGAAGAACUUGUUCCAUUCCAUUAAGAACGCCUGAAUAUUUUAUUGGCUAAAAACUAGGGGCCUAGGCUGGAUGGUAAACAAGUUUGGAGUGCUGUUUUUGAGUUGUGUUUAUGUUUUAUACAUGGAACAGUUUUAAGUAUUUUUUUGUUAAAUUCAAAACACUCCAGAAAUUCUGCAACUUAAGGCGACAACCACUGCAAAAGUUCCAGGGCAACAUUUGGACACUUUCAAGAUUACUUCAGGGACUUGAAUGCUGAGAAACAAGAAGGGACAACUUUUAUUAAGAAAAACAUUUUAGUAGCUGAAUACAGAAAUCAAAACCAAGAGUAGGCGUUCCAAAUUCAUAUUGUGAAGCGCCUACAAAAAGAUUCUUCUGUCAGCUUUCACAGUGUGGAGAGUUCAUCUUUUCAUCUCAUCAAGUGAAAAUAUGCCCCAAUUCCCGACCGGAAUGUGGACUCUGCUUUCAGCAAUGAGCAUCAGACAUGACAAGCCCUGAUUUUGUUCAGUUAUCAGCCCUUCACCUGUCAAGCCAGUGCCUCAGGAAGCUUGAUCCCACCUCCAGCCCAGUAAGUGGACCUGAUUGGUCAAAGGCAUGGCCUAUCCGUCUGGCCAGGGAUCGGUUCAGGAAUAGACUUGAGACCAGAUUCAGGAAUGAAUAUGAGGGACAUUCUUCUUCUUCCUGCAUGUGAUCCCUUGAACUGCUGCUACCACCUUGCCACCUGCCUAAGGAGGAAGGUCAAUGCUGAGGAAUCGGAGCAAAGAGAUAGGAAGAACAUGAGUCUAUGGCAUUGUUGUGCUUUGCUGUCUCUGGACUUCUUUUACGGAAGAAUUCAUCAUCUCAACUGCCCCGAGUCUACGAGAUAUGUCCACAGACGAGCUGACUGCCUACACCAUAGUCCACACCGUCGGUAGCGUUAGCUCCACUGAGACAGAUGUGUUUCCAAAACGCACAGAGGGAUUUGCUGGCCUGAGCAUAGCAAGAGUGUGAUAACUGAAAAAAAAAAAAAAAACAUAAAGUGGGAUCAUGCCCACCCAUCCCUCUGGUUAGACUGCGUGUUUUGUGCAGAAAACUAUGUUUGGGUAGCUCCUCCUCGGGGUAAAGAAAGAAAGAGCUCUGCGCCUGAAGAAACCCCGGACCUGGUAUGCUGGGAGGAAGGUCUGCUCUUCCAGGGUGAAGCCAUUCAUGACAGACCCAGGGAUGUGCGUACUUUGUUU
ensembl:lncRNA